rnacentral:lncRNA from 1 species
CCGAAUUCUCUUCAUAUGAACGCCUCAUGACCACACUCGAGCGCCGUCUUCCCACUUUGAAGUUUCGUUUCCUAUUUAGCUUUAUAACCGAUUCCUGCUCCGACUCACGCUCUGAUUCAUGUUCAGGUUUCCAUUCAACAUCAAGAUCUGGAUCUUCCCGUUCAUGGCCUGAUUCUUCAGAAUCAGAGGUAUCCAUGUCCUCAAGAACUAUAGUCGAGUUUCGGGUUUCCUGCUUUUUCAUACUAUGCUCGUUCUUUAGGUUCUCCUCUGUGGACAAUUUCUUCAUUGCAGAGGUCUGCAAUAUGGAAUGCCAAUGGUUUUAUAUGCUAAAUUUCAGACAUUUACUAUCUAAUCAAACAAGAGUAGACGAUGUUUUCUACUAACCUGUGCUUUCACCUGAUGCACGAGGUCUGCUUUUUGGAUCUCCAUGUAUCUAACAUAACUGCUAAACUUUACUAUUUUUUCUUUUAGGUCUCUUAUAAGGACAUCCUUUUCUCUGCAGUCUGCCUCUUUAUCUCGGGCUAGACACCUUCAAAGUUAAACAAUGGACGGAAAGAAGAAUGUAGGAUGAGUUAUGCAUCAAAUUUUGAAGAUGAUCCUUCAAGAAGCAACAUAUUACGAAAAAUCUUCAGUCACUAAUUGAGAUUUUACCUCGCAGUUGACGCCAAAUUGAACAGAUAGUUCAUGAUACUCUUCGCGUCACCUAGUGUUCUAACUUGGUUCCACCUCCCU